rnacentral:rRNA from 1 species
UACGGAAGGCAGCAGUGGGGAAUAUUGCACAAUGGGCGCAAGCCUGAUGCAGCCAUGCCGCGUGUAUGAAGAAGGCCUUCGGGUUGUAAAGUACUUUCAGUCGUGAGGAAGGUGUUAAGGUUAAUAACCUUAGCAAUUGACGUUAGCGACAGAAGAAGCACCGGCUAACUCCGUGCCAGCAGCCGCGGUAAUACGGAGGGUGCGAGCGUUAAUCGGAAUUACUGGGCGUAAAGGGCACGCAGGCGGUUAAUUAAGUUGGAUGUGAAAUCCCCGGGCUUAACCUGGGAAUGGCAUUCAAGACUGGUUAGCUAGAGUCUUGUAGAGGGGGUAGAAUUCCAUGUGUAGCGGUAAAAUGCGUAGAGAUGUGGAGGAAUACCGGUGGCGAAGGCGGCCCCUGGACAAAGACUGACGCUCAUGUGCGAAAGCGUGGGGAGCAAACAGGGAUUAGAUACC